rnacentral:misc_RNA from 1 species
UCACUACUUGCGUAGGCAGUCUGGCUAGAGUCCCCACCAUGACGUGCUGGUAACUAACCACAGGGGUUGCGCUCGUUGCGCCACUUAAGGCAACACCUCACGGCACGAGCUGACGACAGCCAUGCAGCACCUUCCAUGGUGCCCCGAAGGGACAUCCCGUUUCCGGGACCAUCACCACAGAUUUAGCCCAGGUAAGGUGGGGAUGACGUGUCCUUGAUAGG